CUGCUGAAGGUGUAACAACAUCUGGAAGCAGUGUAAACAUGAGAAUGACUCACAGCAGCAGGAGAAGCAUCACGCCUGACCCUGUGGGAGGUGUAACGUACGUUGUGAGCAGUAGCACUAGCUAAAGUCCGCGUUUCUCACAGAUAGUUCCGAUAUACCAUGUGUUGGUGCUGAGGAGAGAGAAUGUGCGUCAGUACAUAAGUCCAAAACAAACAACUGUAGUUUCUGUGGUCGAGGGUAUUGUGUAAUAUACGAUUUGGCCAUGUAACAAAAUGUUUCACGCGAGGAAGACUAAAUCUCAGCUCGGGACGCUGAUCGAGGAGAACGUUUUUGUUGAUAGUUAUAAAAGAAAUCCUGUAACAUCGGAGCAGCGUCGUUGUGGCCUUCAGUUUUCUUCUGCCAGUUCACUUCAACUUCGGUCUGAUGAAUCGGGUUACGACAGUGACAGCACGAAAAACAGCAGAGAAGAAGUUCCGUUUGAAGGAAAACACGAUACAUCAAAUGAAAACUUCGGAGUUUCUCAUCCACUAAAAACAGUUCGUCAGGAAAGCAACAGUUACGAGCGUACAACAAUGUCAACAGAAAGUAAUCUUCAGAAAUUUGCCAUGUUUUUACAGAAACUGACCAGUUCAGGACAAACUGAUCAUCUAGCUAAGCCUCUUUUCAGCAGAGGGCAUAAAAGGACAAAGAGUGCUUGUGAUUUGAAGCCAAUAUUAAGAAAUGAAGUUCAAAAUUUGACUCCAAAGCCUUAUUCUGACGUGUUACCAGACAAAGAAAAUCACCUUUGUGACCGGAAUAAAACCACGGAACGAAAAGAAACCAACAACUUUACAUCAGUAGUUAGACCUAAUUGUGAAGUCAAAAAAUCAAGUUCUAAAUUUGAGCAAUUUAAGGCAUGGACUUUAGACCGCAAGUUUCUUAGAAACAAACGAAAGAAAACACCUAAGCAGUUUUUUUCGAAAGAGGGUGAUUCAUUCAAUGACGACGAUAAAAGAAAUAGUUUAUUUGCACUAAAUCUGUGUGUAGAUAGAAAUCACUCAACAGAAGAGUUUUGUGGAAACUGUUCCUCGAUUCAUUCCGAAACUAUAGGAAAAGGAAACGUAAAUAUAAACAGGGUGGAAACCUGUGUUCGUGAAGACGUGAGCGGCGAUUUAAAUUAUGAGUUAAAGUUAAAAAAGGCCAGUCAUUUCGUUGUAUCUUCCUACGAUAACAAAUGGAGGAAACAAUGGCUCGAGGACCAUCUUGAUUACAGAGGGCAUUCAAGAUUACGAAGUGGAUCCAGUAAUGACUGUUCUCAACACAGGUUGUCUCUACAAUACGUACAAGACUCCCAAACAUUUUUUGUCGAGUUAAAAAGAAACAAUUUCGGGGAAUUAGGAAUUUCUGUUGGCCCUUACAAAGUUGAUAAACAGUUACCUAAAAGAUACAUCAUAACAAAACAGGAAAAACACAGCACAGGAGAAAGAUGCGACCAUCUUCAGUCAGGAGAUGAAGUUCUUAUGAUCAAUGGGCAACAGCUGCAUGGUGUGGAGUUUAAGGAAGUUCUGCGUCUUCUGGGUGAUCUAACCACAGAUGUCUACCACCUGGUGGUGCGAAGGCCUGACCACUGGAAAGGAAUUCAAUCGGAAUGUUCGAUGUUGCUAGAUCCAGUAAAGGGAAGUUCGCCUCUUGAUGAGACCUCAACGUAUAAUGACCAUGAAGUACACCUACCGUUUAGUAGCAGAAGACCUCAUAUAUUUGUCCAACAAGAAAGUCGGGUUGCUGAAACCGGUUUAUAUACACUGCCUAGAAAACCUAGGGCUUCUCAACUUUCUUUUCACACUGUUGUUUUUGAAAAAGGAUCAGGGAGGAAAAGCCUAGGGUUCAGUAUCGUUGGAGGAAAGGACUCACCAAAAGGUGCCAUGGGAAUCUUCGUGAAGACCAUCUUCCCAUACGGCCAAGCUGCAAAAACAAACCAACUUAAAGAAGGGCCUAUCACAUGCAGAUGCAAUAGCAGCUUUCAAACGGAUUAAACAAGGCUCUGUUGUUUUACGAGUGGGCCGAAGAGCAACGACAAAAAAGCACAAUCUGGUUUUCAAGUCAUGUAGCAACCUCGACAGUAUGUAAAUUCAUGUUAAUCAAGGUGUACAAAACUCAUACAGGAACAGAGAAAGGAUUAAAUAUGAAGCUACUCAAGAAACUUUGCAAAGGAAAUAUAGAGUAAAAAUGUGAGAAGAGAAAGAAGAAUAUACUGUGUAGGAAGAAUAGAAAAUAUAUAUGUUAGUUAUGUAGGCAGAAAAUAAGGAUAUGCGAUUAUACACUAAAUCUACCAGAGAAAUUAUAGUUGUGUCGUUUUUUAAACAAAACAUAUGGGAGAAAGUAUAGGGUAUAAUCGUGUCAUUGUUUAAACAAAACAUACAGAAAAAAACAUAGGUCGUUGAUGAGUUGUUCUACAUAAUAAGCUACAUAAUAAAUAAUGCAGUGCAUCUGUAUAUUAGAGUAAACAAGGAGCAAGAAUAGAAUAAAAAUAACUUUCAGAUCAACUUCAGGAUAUAACAGUUAUCUAAUCUUUUCAGUUGUUUCAAAAUAUUGGAGCAGUGUUUCAAGACAUGGUAAACAAGUGUAUAAAGAUAUUUGGAUAUAAUAUAUAUUUUAUGUGGCUUAUCAAACGUAUUUGUUAAGAAUGAGUAAGUUGUUUCUUUCAACAAAUGCUUAGGGUAACCAUGUGGAAAAAGAACACUUUAUAUAAAAUAUAUUUCUUUGUGAAUGGCUAGGUAAGAAGAGUUAAGGCUGUAGGCUCUUUUCUGUAGGCAAAGUAUAAGGUUGCAUUUGAAAGAAGGUAUAAAGCUGUCAAACUGGGUGAAAAGUCCAGUAAAUGUAUUUUUAUAACAGACAGAAGCAGAAAAACUCUUAGUAUCACGAUUAUCUAGAACGUCCAGAAAAGAAAUAGAAUUAUUAGUCCCAAACUGUCUUAAGCAUUUGCUUACCAUACCUGGAAGACAGAGCUUCAUUAACAUGAAACAAAUGAAAAUAAUAGAAUGUGUGUGGUUUUGUUUUGCUAUGUAACCUACAGGAGAAGAGAACUGGUGUACAGUUUUUGUAGACAAUGCAAAGUGAAAACAGAAGAAUGUGUUUAACUGUUUGUUUGAUAAUUAUGAAGAAGUUAAAAAUUCUUGUAAAAGAAAGCAGUCAAUAACAAGGAUUUAAAUGUUGAAUAGAGGGGGUAUAAUUACUAUACAACUCCAAAAACAAAUCCAAUAUUUUGUAUUAUGGUAUUGCACACAAGGAAGAAAGGUUGAGAGAUGAGAAAUAAGUGUUUUCCAUUUCGUUGAAAUAAUUGUUAACACUGUUUUUGUUUUCUUUUAGUUAUUAAAUUUACAUUUUAUGUGUGAAUAAUGAACGGAGAGAAAUGUACGAUAUUUUUUGCAGAUAAUCCAACCCAACUUUCUGCUCUUUAGGUUUACAGUUAGAAGUAUUAUAAAAUGUGCUUUCUUUUUAAAAUUCAAAAUAUUAUAUGAAUUUAUAUCACCAUAACUGGACAAGCAGUAUAUAACUAGAUAUAAAAAAUAAAUUAUUCUCAUAUUCAAGUCAGAAUUAAUGAGGCUUCAUAUGUCAUUAUUCUAGAAACGUUAAUAAAUAUUCGUAAAUGAAACCAAAGAGUAGCACAUCAAAAAAUUCAGAUACUUAUGUAAAUAUGAUAAUACUAAGAUUCAGCCUGACUUUUGCACUAGAUGAGUGUAAUGAAACCCCAGUGUUACUAUAUAGCCAGAGAGAAUAGACACAACACUGAUUUCAACAUUCCAAGGCAACAAAUAUUAUGUGGUGUUCAUUAUUACUGAAUAUAAUUAUGACACUGAUGAGUUUUGCUGAUAAUUAUAGGAUAUAAUAAUAUAAGAAAUAUAAUGUUAAGUAACUAACUUCACAAUGAUCAAGGUAUGAAAAUUAUUAUUUAAUACCGCUGAAUUUUGUCUUUAUACUUUAUAUACUCUGAAAGCAUAUGUGACGUAUUUCUGUAUUUUAUUAUCAUGCCAUUUAACUGAUUGUUUAAAAGCUUUGUUGGUGCAUAUUAGAAUUUCAGCCCAAAUUAUGGUUCAUUGAGAAUUCGGGAAUCGCCAUACUUUAAUAUAUUUCAUUAUAACACGUGUAUGCAAAUAGUUUAGUAAAGUGUGUAAAACGUAAUAAAAAUAAACUUAAAUCUUCUUUGAACUUUUCCCUAUUUUCUCUAAUCCCAUGCACAGUUGAUGACCGUAUCUUAGAGUUUAUAGCAACUGAAAGUGUCUAAAAUGCACAACCAUAAUUCUUAAUGUAUAACUGUUGAAACUUUUCUAAAAUACAUUGGUAGACUUCUUAGCCAAUGACUGUUGAAACAUUUAAAGGCACUGCCAUAAAGCUUAAUAUGUAAAUGUUGAAACUUUACUAAUAUACACAGAAAGCGUUUUUACCUAUAACUAUUGAAAUUGUAUAAGUACACAGGGAGCGUAUUUAGUCUAUAACUGUGGACACAUUUUUAAAUAGAAGGCCAGAUUAAUUUGUCUGUAAACGUUGAAACUAUUCUGAUAUACAGAAACUUUCUGUCCACUUGUUGUUUGCAUCAAUUCCAGAGGUAGUGUCCCAUUUUUCCUUACCAAUUAAAGUUGAACAGUCACAGCUUAAGAUCCAGUGUCGGCCUACACACUGCGAGGUUUCCCAUCAAUAAACUCGUGGACUGGUUUCCUCAAAUAAUGAACUUAUCUCAUGUGGUGAAGAUGGAGUGUUCUUAGCUGAACAUUACCCCCAUAAUACCAGCUAAUUAUUAUUUUUACAAUGUCUGGUUACUUUUUGUUAUUCCUUUGAUCUGGUUAAGGUCUGGGACACAUCUUUAUGGUAUUGUCUCUUUUGCUUAUUAAAAACUGUCAAUCACUUACUGUUUGGGCUGUAAUGCCUAUAUUUCCUCAAUUAUAACAGUUCCGUUUUCCUAGCAUCUUUUGGAAAUCUUUUGUUCCAUACAUACGUUUACCUGCAGUUCCCAAUAGUUUUUAUAAAUACCAUUUUCUUUCAUAGUAUCUUGAAUGAUAUAUAAUUAUUUUUACUUUUAUGAUGGUGCUGUACAAGUAUUUUUCAAUACCUGGCAUAUUUCUGAAACCAUUAAAGACGUAGUCAAAUAAAUCAAUGUCCUUUGUCAUCCAAACAACAAUAAUAUCUAAUGCUAAUUGAAUGAAAAUGGAAGUAAAAAACUAACCACACCAAAUGAAACCAUGUCUUCAUGU
rnacentral:misc_RNA from 1 species